rnacentral:misc_RNA from 1 species
AAAGUCGUAACAAGGUUUCCGUAGGUGAACCUGCGGAAGGAUCAUUACCGAGAUAGGGCCUUCGGGCUCGACCUCCAACCCUCUAUCUACCUUCUCAUGUUGCCUCGGCGGGCCGCCGCAAGGCCGUCGGCAUUCGUGCUCUCGAGUGCCCGCCAGAGGACCGACCAAACCCUGCUCAUCGUAGACUUCUGAGUGAGAAACACAAUAACUUCAAAACUUUCAACAACGGAUCUCUUGGUUCUG